GGGUGGCGUCUGGACACCUGUGCCUUCCUGGAUCCUCACCCUCCUUCUACUCACCUGAUGCUGGUUCUGGCUGAUUGCACCUGAUGCCAUUUAAGGCCACAGUGGAGUGUUGGUCCUUGCUGGAUUGUUGUGCUAUUUUAAAGACCUACCUGGACCCCAGCCUGCCUUCCCUUGAAACCCUUUGGAUGAGCAAGAGUGUGAGUGAGGAACGGUAUGGACAUCUGGACUGAGUGUGUGUUUUUCACAAGCGGAUUGAAGAGGAGUGUGAGUGUGACUGUUCCCCAGCCCUGGACCUACCCCUGGAAGCCCUGGACCCCUUUUCUCCCUCUCACUGUACAUAUGUAAAUAUUCCACCACUUGAGUCCAGCCUAGUCACCAUGACAAGGUGCCACUUCUGUUAGCUAAGAACAGGAAACCGAGGCUACAGUUUGCAUGGGUUGACCAAAAUUGGACCCCAUAGAAGAUUGGACAGAUGUUGUCUGGUCUAAUGAGUCUAAAUUUCUGCUGUGACAUUGGGAUUAUGACCACAGUGUACCCAUCAGGUUGAAUAUGAAUUCACUGUACUCAAAUGACCUCUACAGUCACCAGAUCUCAAACUAAUAGAGCAACUUUUGGAUGUGGUGAUUUGCAUAAUGGAUGUGUAACCUACAAAUUUGCAGAAACUUCUCAUGUCAAUAUAGACCAAAGUCUCUGAGGAAUGUUUCCAGCACCUUGUUGAAUCUAUGAAUCCUGGUACUAGACAGGUGUAACAAAUAAAACAGAUGUCCUUAUGUCCUGUGAGUGAAUACAUAGCUCUGGUAUAGUAGCAGCAUUUUUCAAAUGUCAAAGAACAUGUGAAUGAGACAGGUUGCUACACUGUUUUUCAUAAUGUUCUUUCUUUUUUACUAUAAACACGUCCACUCUCUUAUUUUCAAUCAGUCUGCACACAUGUUAGAUCCCCACCGCCACUUUGUGUUAGAAGCAAAGGUUUGCGUAUAAAUCAGUGGGCUGGGGUUUAGGUUUUACAGACAGGCUAGGAAGGUUGGAAGAUAAUGAGAGGUUAAAACAUUCUUUUAUAUGAUUUGUUGACGAAACGGAAAACAUGAAAAAAGAGGAGUUGGCUUUAUCGUCAUAGGGGGUGUAUGCCAGCAGCAUGACGAUGGAGCUCUAAACCUGUAACGUGUAGGGCAGACAUCGUGUUUCAGGUCACAUUUAUGAUAUUCACUACAGGACUUUAGAUGUGGUUGGGAGACAUUUUCUCCCCAGGUCCAUUUCUUCUCUGUCAGUUUGGAUAAGCUUCGAAGCCGGGCUUUAGCAGUGAGGGCUCCCUGUUUUACGCCAUCGUUUUUUCUUUUCUUCUCAUCAGAUAUCUCUUAACUCUUUUGCUGUCCUCCUUCAAGUCUUCUGCUGUCCUUCUCAGCUCUCUUUAGUCUUCUGUCAAAUUAAACUUUCAUGGAUCUUCCGGGAUUCUUAAUGCUAUAGUGGUCCUUUAAGUUAAUGUUAGACCUUCAGACCUUUGACCAACUGGGUAUAAAAUUAUGUUAGGACCACUACUGCUGCUAUUCUUGCUCAUAACCAUCCCUCAAAUGAGCUGAGAAAAAAUGGAAAAAAUAUAUUCUUUUGAAUCGCAGUUCUGUGUGUCUCUAUUGUCGGUAAGAGAGAGCGCCACAGAGAGUUUCUUAGAACAACAAGAAAGAAAGAUCUGGAUAAACAAGUUUAUGCAACAAACAUUUGCAAUCCAUCAUGCUAAUUGAGUGCUCUGAUAGCCUGCCAGUUGUAUCUGAAGAGGCUGUGUGAGGCCCAGUUAAGCCCACUGACGUUAGAGAGAGUGAGGAACGCAAUCUUUAAAAUAAAACCAAUUCCUCAGUUAGGUAAAAUAUAGCAAUAUUAAUCAGUUAACCUUUUAAAUAAUAAACACAGGAAUGCAAAAGUAAGCUGAUGAUAUUAAACAGAACAGUCCUGUGAGAUCUGUUCAGCUUUCUGAUUUGUUGGAAGGGCUCAGCUGAAAACAUCUGCUUGU